GGGGCUGCUUGGUUUCGACAGGAAUAUAAGGGUUUAAGUGGCAAGCCGGAGGUACACGUUAAGUACAAAUCCAAAAUAAAUGGAAACAAAACUCAAUUAGCUUUCGCAUAAAAUAGAGAAAAUAGCGGAAGGCUCCUGUUAUUCCUUGCUCGUGGGAAUUUUAGGGGCACGAUUUAGCGAGCUAUAUUAUUACCUUGCCUAUGGGUAAUAAUGAAUUUUUAUAGGCUUACUAGAAAAAAAGGUUGUCAAUUGACUUUUUUCUAGGACAACAUUCAAUUGACUAAGCUUGUAGAAGCUUAAACUACUGUAUUCUUGGACAGGGGUUCAAUUCCCCUCAGCUCCACCA
rnacentral:tmRNA from 1 species